rnacentral:rRNA from 1 species
GAUGAACGCUGGCGGCGUGCCUAAUACAUGCAAGUCGAGCGAACAGAUAAGGAGCUUGCUCCUUUGACGUUAGCGGCGGGCGGGUGAGUAACACGUGGGUAACCUACCUAUAAGACUGGAAUAACUCCGGGAAACCGGGGCUAAUGCCGGAUAACAUUUAGAACCGCAUGGUUCUAAAGUGAAAGAUGGUUUUGCUAUCACUUAUAGAUGGACCCGCGCCGUAUUAGCUAGUUGGUAAGGUAACGGCUUACCAAGGCAACGAUACGUAGCCGACCUGAGAGGGUGAUCGGCCACACUGGAACUGAGACACGGUCCAGACUCCUACGGGAGGCAGCAGUAGGGAAUCUUCCGCAAUGGGCGAAAGCCUGACGGAGCAACGCCGCGUGAGUGAUGAAGGUCUUCGGAUCGUAAAACUCUGUUAUUAGGGAAGAACAAAUGUGUAAGUAACUGUGCACGUCUUGACGGUACCUAAUCAGAAAGCCACGGCUAACUACGUG